rnacentral:rRNA from 1 species
AGUGAACGCUGGCGGUAGGCCUAACACAUGCAAGUCGAACGGCAGCACAGUAAGAGCUUGCUCUUACGGGUGGCGAGUGGCGGACGGGUGAGGAAUACAUCGGAAUCUACUUUUUCGUGGGGGAUAACGUAGGGAAACUUACGCUAAUACCGCAUACGACCUACGGGUGAAAGCAGGGGAUCUUCGGACCUUGCGCGAUUGAAUGAGCCGAUGUCGGAUUAGCUAGUUGGCGGGGUAAAGGCCCACCAAGGCGACGAUCCGUAGCUGGUCUGAGAGGAUGGUCAGCCACACUGGAACUGAGCCACGGUCCAGACUCCUACGGGAGGCAGCAGUGGGGAAUAUUGGGCAAUGGGCGCAAGCCUGAUCCAGCCAUACCGCGUCGGUGAAGAAGGCCUUCGGGUUGUAAAGCCCUUUUGUUGGGAAAGAAAAGCAGCAGGUUAAUACCCCGCUGUUCUGACGGUACCCAAAGAAUAAGCACCGGCUAACUUCGUG